rnacentral:rRNA from 1 species
ACAUGCAAGUCGAACGCAGUAGCAAUACUGAGUGGCAAACGGGUGAGUAUAAUGUGGGUAUCUGCCUUUUGGUUUGGAAUAACAUGAGGAAACUUGUGCUAAUACCGGAUAAGCCUUCACAGGGAAAGUUUUAUACGCCGAAAGAUGAGCCCGCACUUGAUUAGUUUGUUGGUGAGGUAAUGGCUCACCAAGACAAUUAUCAAUAGCUGGUCUGAGAGGACGAUCAGCCACAUUGGGACUGAGACACGGCCCAGACUCCUACGGGAGGCAGCAGUAAGGAAUCUUGCACAAUGGGGGAAACCCUGAUGCAGCGAUGCCGCGUGAGUGAAGAAGGCCCUUGGGUUGUAAAACUCUUUCGUCGGGGAAGAAAAUGACUGUACCCGAAUAAGAAGGUCCGGCUAACUUCGUGCCAGCAGCCGCGGUAAUACGAAGGGACCUAGCGUAGUUCGGAAUUACUGGGCUUAAAGAGCUCGUAGGUGGUUAAAAAAGUUGAUGGUGAAAUCCCAAGGCUCAACCUUGGAACUGCCAUCAAAACUUUUUAGCUAGAGUGUGAUAGAGGAAAGUGGAAUUUCUAGUGUAGAGGUGAAAUUCGUAGAUAUUAGAAAGAACACCAAAUGCGAAGGCAACUUUCUGGGUCACUACUGACACUGAGGAGCGAAAGCAUGGGUAGCGAAGAGGAUUAGAUACCCUCGUAGUCCAUGCCGUAAACGAUGUGUGCUAGACGUUGGAAAUAUAUUUUUCAGUGUCGCAGC